rnacentral:misc_RNA from 1 species
GAUGAAGAACGCAGCGAAAUGCGAUAAGUAAUGUGAAUUGCAGAAUCCAGUGAAUCAUCGAAUCUUUGAACGCACAUUGCGCCCGCCAGCAAUCUGGCGGGCAUGCCUGUUCGAGCGUCAUUUCAACCCUCGACCUCCCUUUGGGGAAGUCGGCGUUGGGGACCGGCAGCACACCGCCGGCCCUGAAAUGGAGUGGCGGCCCGUCCGCGGCGACCUCUGCGUAGUAAACCAACUCGCACCGGAACCCCGACGUGGCCACGCCGUAAAACACCCAACUUCUGAACGUUGACCUCGAAUCAGGUAGGACUACCCGCUGAACUUAAGCAUAUCAAUAAGCGGAGGA